AGGCAAAUCGAACCCCUUGAAGCAUAAGAUUUCCUUCUUUACCACUUCCAUUUGAUUCCAGCUCCUUCGCUAUUCGCUUCAUAUACUCCUGAGCUAGCCUCAGCGAGCUGUAUUUUAGCUGCAACAAGGUAAAGGUUCCUCAAAUCUUUCGUUGAAGUAGUGGUGGAUGUGAGUCUAAGCAAAUUUUCUUGAAGUUGGUAAAAUGGUGUGCCAUUAUACUUUAUGUGCAACCAAUGGUGUGUUGUUAGUAAUAAUAGUCUGUGAUAGUCCAUAAUUUGUUACUAGUGUUCUUUUUCAAUCAUAAUCAGUUGAUCAGAUUUUAUUCGUAUACUGCAUCUAUCAGUCACCUACCUGUCCAAUCAGUCCUGUGUCGAGCAUCCACUCCCAAGGUAUCUGAAAAUCCUUGUAUCUUUUCCCUGUACUGUCUCUCAUCUUCUCUGUGUUGUUAACACUUUCCUCUAACCUGAAAAUGUGAAGAUUUAAGGCGAUUUAAUUCUUGUAAUUGGUUAAGAUCAGGGAGUUGCUAGUAUUAUAUUCUUUAGACAUACUCGCCUGUCUUGCAACGAUUGAAUCCUUUGCAAGGCCUGCGUCAGAGAAUCUUUUGGAUUGUCCUUGAAUGACAAAAUCUCAUUUCCAAGGUUCUUUGGCCUUUUGUAAUUGCAAGCAGCCUCUCUUAGUGAAUCUACUUUGCGUUCUGGCCAUUUAGGGAAAUGCUUUAGGACUGCCCUUUCAUCUACCAAGGAAGAUAGUUCUUCGUCUAUCCAUUUCACAAAUGUCUCCACUUCUGAUAUGUCUGUAAAUGUUGCAGCUUCCACUUUACUAAUCAAGAUAUGGAUAUGAUCUCUGUGUCUGUCAGUGUCAGAUUUAAUCUGCAAAUGUGCAAACACCGUUAGGAGAUCUGUUAAUGUUAUGAUGGACAUUUAAUUCCAUACGGUUGUUCAUUUAGCCACCUCUUCUAAGUUAUGAUGGACAAAGUUUAUCCUGUAUAGUACUUACAUCUGAAAGAUAUUUGGAGCGAUUCUCGAUUUCACCAAUCAUGUUUCUGUUGAAUGCAGGCGACAAAACUCCAUUCUGAUUGAUCUUGUUCCCCAUAUGAGACUCUCUCUUCGUCAGGGCACGAUAAAACUCUACGACUUCUGGAGCACGCCGCACAGAUCUUUUUCCAAGUGUUCUCUUUGAUGGAAGUGGUGGAGGUGGUGGCGGCUUUGUUGCUGUAGACUGACCUUGGAUCGUUGGCUUGGGAUUUGGAUUUCUGACCUCUUGACCCUUUGUGUUGGAUUUGACACUCUCUGGCGCUUUCAGCUUAUCGUUCCUCACUAGAUAGGCUUGAAGCUCCUUCACCAGACGCAGGAGAUCUGAAUCAUCUUCUCCAUUAGAUUAAGUUUGAAGAUCCUCUGAGUCCGCAAAUAAGUCACAGUCCCAGCCAUGGAUCGA